GCCUCGUUAGCUCAGUUCGGUAGAGCAUUAGGCUUUUAACCUAAGGGUCACGUGUUCGAAUCAUGUACGAGGCG